CUAACAUUACAAAUACGUACGUCCUUAAGGUUACUCUAAGGGUGCGUUUGGUUCGCGCUAUCUUUUUAAGAUUUCUAGUAAUCCAAUAGAAAUAAAAAAAUAUAACGGUGUUUGGACAAACGCAUUAAGUAAUCUAGUUGGUAAUAUUGGAUUUACUUGGGAAUGAGAUGCAUCACAGAGUGCUAAUCUCAUUCCUUUGAGAGGGGGUGGGUAUUCUUAUAUUAAUGAAUUGGGGUAAUUAUAAUAUGUCUAAUCUCUUUCUUUCUUCUUACCCGCCGGCUAGUUGGUAUUAUUUUUUUUACACUCUAAUCUCAUAUCUCUCUCUAAAUUUAUCUUUUUCUUUCUAAACUUCAACUCCUUUUCUCUCUCUAAACUAUGCUAUUUCUCCCCCUCUUUUUCUAAAAUCUCAACCUUCUCAUUCUUUCUAACCUCAGACUCUAUUUCUCUUCCUAUUUCUUUAAUUAUACUCUCUCUUUCUAACCUAUAUUCUCUCUUUUUUCUAAAAGGAUGUUGAAAUUUUUUAUAAUAUUAUUUAAAAUUAAUUAAGAAAAUAAAUUAACUAAUUGUAUAUUUUUCGUAAUCUUAAAUAGCAUGACUAAAUAAUAUGACCAUACAAACCAAACACCGAAAUAUUAUAUUCUUAGUAAUAGGAUUAAUAGGAAUAAGAUUCUCGCAUAUCUUUUUACUCCUAGUAAUCUUUCAUAGUGCGAACCAAACGCGCCCUAAUACCAAAAGUACAAUGCAUCACGUUUUUGUUA
rnacentral:lncRNA from 1 species